rnacentral:rRNA from 1 species
GCCCGCUCAAGAAACUUAAAGGAAUUGACGGGACCCCGCACAAGCGGUGGAUCAUGUUGUUUAAUUCGAUGAUACGCGAAGAACCUUACCAGGUCUUGACAUCCCCCGCGAUGCUUUAGAGAUAAAGCGGAGGUAUUCGGGGAGACAGGUGGUGCAUGGUUGUCGUCAGCUCGUGUCGUGAGAUGUUGGGUUAAGUCCCGCAACGAGCGCAACCCCUAUUGCUAGUUACCAUCAUUAAGUUGGGGACUCUAGCGAGACUGCCAGUGAUAAACUGGAGGAAGGUGGGGAUGACGUCAAAUCAUCAUGCCCCUUAUGACCUGGGCUACAAACGUGAUACAAUGGCUGGUACAGAGCGCAGCGAAGCCGCGAGGCAAAGCGAAUCGCAAAAAGCCGGUCUCAGUACGGAUUGGAGUCUGAAACCCGACUCCAUGAAGUUGGAAUCGCUAGUAAUCGCGCAUCAGCAUGGCGCGGUGAAUACGUUCCCGGGCCUU